GACUGGUGAUGUAAAUAAGAGCUCAAGCUCAAUAGAUAGGAAGUUGAAUCAUAUCUACAUAUCACUUGUCGCUCCAACAGGUGGAGAAAGAGCAUGAGAGAGACACAGGCUUGUUAUGGGAACGGGUUCAGGAAAAAGUAUAAGACCUGCUCCCUCUGGUUUCAAUCCAGCAAAUUAGUCAAAUUAGAAUCUGGAACCGCUCUUCCCCAAAUGCAUCUGGCUGGCUAGUCUUUUCGUUUCCAUGGCAAUACCAGCGAAGCUUCCUGGAUGGUAGGCAUCAAUAACCACCCAAUCAAGAGUUUAGGCUUAGUGCUAGUGAGGUGCCGCAGGCUCCGGGGCCCGCAUUCACAAAAGGUCUGAGUAGGACUGCUGCUAAAGGAUCCGUUUUGCCUUUUAGAUCAUAAUGCAUACGAUUAUACGGACAGGAGGGACCCUACUCUGAAACACAUUUUUAAUACGGGCCCUGGAUUUACUACACGGAGACUUGAUCCUCAGGCAGCAGCAACCAGUCGUGAACACACGGGGAAGGUGACCAGGCUGUAUGGAAGGAAAAGGAACAGAUGUGGGUCCAGGAUGUCGAAAAUGUCCUCAGUUCAAUGGCUAGGCAACUGUGUGCUUCCCUGGAUAAAUAUCCUCGCCACGAGCCUGGGGAUGGCUCAAACCACUUCUCCCCUUCCUUCCAAGACUGGUUUCCCUCCCGUCAUCCAGCCCUUACUUACAGACAGCUGUAGGUCCUCUACACCCACAGACUGAAGAGCCAUGGAACAUAUUGCUCGGCAGCUAAAAUGGACAAUGGCAGAACGAAGCCUUCAUUAUUGAUUGAUUUGAAAUGUUUAUUGGUGUGAAUCAUCUAGAAACCACCAUAGAUAGUGCUACCACAGAGGAGGAGUCAAAGAUAUUCAGUUAUAUACCAGAGCUCAUGAAAAUACAUUUCUACCCUUGUCUGAAUCUCUCCAUUUCAGGGUAUGCAUUGAAAGCAAAGAGGAACAAAUGGGAUGCAACCGUUCCAAAGCAUGAUGUGUACUCAUCUAUGAUAAGUUGCUGUUUGACAUUCUGGAGAGGUGUAAUCAUAUAAAGACACAGAUGUCCUCCAGGAGUCACACUCUAAUAAAGGAUGAUGAUAAGUCAAACAGAGUCCAGAGUUUACAGUCUGACCUUCUCUGGUCCAAGAGGCUAGAGACCAAUUCUUCCCUCACGCAACCCUCACCUCAAUUAAAUAAACUUGUGAUUUAUCUGAGCUACUCUCUGUUGUAUCUUUGUCUGAAAAUGUUGGAAAUCUGCCAGUGGAAACAGAACACACAUAUCAGUCUGUACACCAAACGUUUAAAAAGAAAGGAAAAAAAGGCAAGUUCGGGUACAUUCCAAUGCCCAUUAACUUUGACCUGCAGACCACUUGACUAAGUAUCCAUUUGAGAAGUUAUUGAUUCUAUUGAAUGCUCUGUGGCUUAGGAGGGAAAUGGGACUGUGUGGUUGGUAGUUGAAUGAUUUCUUGGAAGCAGAUAUGAUUUGGUGUCUAUAUAUAGGGUCUCAACAGACGGAGCAGUGCGACCUGUACUGUGUCAGCUGACUUCCUGGUCCCAAGUCUCCUCGGUCCCCCAAAUGAGAUCCAAGACGCCAUGCUUCCUGGCUGAUUA